UACGGGGGGAGCAAGCGUUGUUCGGAUUUACUGGGCGUAAAGGGCGCGUAGGCGGCGUGACAAGUCACUUGUGAAAUCUCCGGGCUUAACCCGGAGCGGCCAAGUGAUACUGUCGUGCUAGAGUGCGGAAAGGGCUACUGGAAUUCUCGGUGUAGCGGUGAAAUGCGUAGAUAUCAGGAGGAACACCAGCGGCGAAGGCGGCGCUCUGGGCCGGUACUGACACUGAGGAGCGAAAGCGUGGGUAGCAAACAGG
rnacentral:rRNA from 1 species